UUGCAACUGGGGAAAUUAUUUUUCUGUCUUUUUCUCUUUCUUGUUAAGAUAUUUUAAAAUGUUUUGUAAGAGCCUGAAUAAUAAAAUAAUUUGGCUGAUAUAUAUUUUUAUUGUUAGUUUAUGCAUUGUUUUUUAUUUUUCUUUGUUUCCCUCUUUUUUCAGGGUUGUAACUUACAAGAGGACUUCAGAGGAUUCACUGCAAGAAAUACGCAAACAUUGCUGCCAACAAAAACACCAAGAUGCUUACGGAACUACUCAUGGAGGUGAAGCAAAUGUCACGGGACAUUCAGUUUAUAAAGACUGAAAUCGCUAAAUCCUCCAUGAAUAUUCCUGGAGCAGGUCCUGCAUCACAGAGAGAAACGCCUUUCCCCAUUGUUCUGCCACUCGCCAAUGAGGAGCAGUUUGAUGAGGCUGAAGCUGCACUGAAGGAGGAAACAGUCCGUCGAAUGAUGAAUGGAAAGUGAGGUGAUGCUUUGGGCUAUUGUACUAUUUCCAAAUGGCGGAACUGCAACAGUUCUUUCCAGCUGGUUCAAUCCAAAGGAAAGUACAUUGUCCGGGCCCCCAAAAAACAUGAAUUAUUCAAAGGCCCUUAAAGAAAACAUGAUGCCCCGUAAAGGAUGGACCACGUAUGAGAAAGUUCGGCUCUUAAUUACUUGUGACUCAUUUGAAAAGGCCAAGCAACAUGAAGAAAUGUAUGUCACUACUGGAUGUCUGACCACUGAUUUGGAAUCAGAGGAGGAAGCAGAUGUACGUCGGAAAAGAAGAACAAGGCCAAAUCCUUUGUACAUGGAGUCAGAUGGGGAGCCAGAAACCAGCAGUGUUAAGAGGAAAUUUGCCAAGCCACCUGCUAUUCACUUUCCAGUGCUGCCAGAAUCCAACCAGUACCCCUCUCUACCAACCCCAGAUGCAAGCAGUGCCUCUGGAGGAAACUACUCAGAGGAUGUUCAGUCAUUUGACCAGCCUAAUAAUGGCUUUUGUGGAAACAUCUUGGCAGAGCUAGAGUCAACAGACCUCUGUAAUGAUGGUAUGCCAAUGUAUAACUCAAGCCCCUACCACAUUGUGCCAUCAGAGCAAGCAAGGAAUGACAUCAGUCCCAGCUAUGCAAAUGGCUCCACAUCAGCUGAGUUCAGAUCCCCUGGCCCGGGUUCAGCUCCAGAUACACCACGGGGAAGAUUCCAUGGAAGGGAGCCCAGCCAAAUGUUGCAAGGCAAGUAUCAUUUUCUGAUCAACUUCUUAACCUUACUGAUGCCAUCUGAACUGAGAAACAUGUCCCUUGUGACAUGA
rnacentral:lncRNA from 15 species